ensembl:lncRNA
CGAAGGGAUGGUACGUGCAAGUGUGUGGUGCUUCUCAGCAGGCCAGUUCCCAACUCUGCUUGUCCAUACUGUACACCUCCCUUAUUAUUGUGUCCUAGCGAACUGAUGAGGGUGUUUGGGGAGUCUGGGGAGCAGAAACAUCCUUAUUUAUAUGUAGAAAAGAUUUUCAAGACUAUCACAGUCAAAGAAUGGUUGAGGUUGGGAGAAACUUUUGGAGGUCAAGUAGGUCCAACUAUAGCAAGUGGCCCAGGACCACGUCCAGGCAGCUUUAGAUCUCCAAGGAGUUUCUACUUGUUUUUUUGUGGGUUUUUUGUUUGUUUGUUUCAGAUAAAUCAAGAAUAGAUGACACCAAUACAAGGUCAGCUGUAUUUCACUGUGAGUCUUAACCUCUGCUGGCUUCUCCACAGCACAACUUCAUUGCCUGGUGAAGACAUUUGGUAUAGUAUGCUCCUUGUAAUGCAUGACUCAGUUCAAAUCUUUAUGCUGCAUCCCUCAACUCUGGCAUCCAGAUGCUUGUAGGACGUGUCCAGGAACUAUCAACAUCUCUUUAGAUCAGUUGUCUGAAGUCAUGUCUGGUGGAAAAAGGCUGGCUUUGGCUGCUUGGAGACUGAUUGCAGUGCUCACAAGGUCCUGAAGAAGCAAAUGCCUGGCAAAGCUCUAUUGAGGAGAAUUAAGGAAGAGCUCUUGGACAAAGUGGGCAGGCCUGUGGAACUUCCUUAGGGAGACCUGGGAAUAAUAAAGACUGGACAAGGCACAAUUCCCCCUGACCCAGGAUGCCUGAAGAACAGUAGCAUGAGCAACCUCAGAAGACUCUGUCUGCAGGGAAGAAAGAAUGAGGAAGGGACCACAGCUAAACAGACAGUGCCUUCAGGAAAGAGAAGCUGCUUGGGAAACAAUCUGCAGUCCUUCUAGGAAGAGAAUUCCCUAGCAUAAAGGGAGGUGGACUGGUGAUGCUGGUGGUGGUGAUGCCAGUGGUGGAGGAAGGAUGUUGGUGAGCUACUGCGAAGGAGGGAGUAUAGGUUUGAAGCAUGUGGAGAGAGAGCAGAGGUUGGUUGGUGUGUGUUGCUGUAAGCCUGUGUGUAUCCUAGAGGUAAGCACGGAUGGUUUCUUGGACCUCUCCAUCUCCAUCCACCAGCCUGCAGAUCAGAACUGGUCUGGAGGGCUUUUCACUGCUGACACAAAGUGCGUUGGAGGCAAGAUGACGAUGCUGGAGAAGUUAAACCCAUGUCUGUCCCUGUGGACCCACCAUUGUGCG